AGUGGGAUAGCUGGGUCAAAUGGUGGUUCCAUUCCAAGUUUUCUAAGGAAUCUCCAUACUGCUUUCCAAAUUGGUUGCAUCAAUCUGCAGUCCCACCAGCACAU
rnacentral:pre_miRNA from 1 species